rnacentral:tRNA from 1 species
GCCCGGGUGGCGAAAUUGGUAGACGCAAGGGACUUAAAAUCCCUCGGGGGAAACCCCGUGCCGGUUCGAUUCCGGCCCCGGGCACCA